UGCCAGCAGCCGCGGUAAUACGAAUGGGGCGAGCGUUGUUCGGAAUCACUGGGCGUAAAGCGUAUGUAGGCGGACUUGAAAGUCAGAAGUGAAAUCCCGGGGCUCAACCUCGGAAUUGCUUUUGAAACUCCAAGUCUCGAGUCCCGGAGGGGCCAGUAGAAUUCCUAGUGUAGAGGUGAAAUUCGCAGAUAUUAGGAGGAAUACCAGUGGCGUAGGCGACUGGCUGGACGGGUACUGACGCUGAGAUACGAAAGCGUGGGGAGCAAACAGGAUUAGAUA
rnacentral:rRNA from 1 species